rnacentral:rRNA from 1 species
UACGUAGUUAGCCGGGGCUUCUUAGUCAGGUACCGUCAUUUUCUUCCCUGCUGAUAGAGCUUUACAUACCGAAAUACUUCAUCGCUCACGCGGCGUCGCUGCAUCAGGGUUUCCCCCAUUGUGCAAUAUUCCCCACUGCUGCCUCCCGUAGGAGUUUGGGCCGUGUCUCAGUCCCAAUGUGGCCGGUCACCCUCUCAGGUCGGCUACUGAUCGUUGCCUUGGUGAGCCGUUACCUCACCAACUAGCUAAUCAGACGCGGGCCCAUCUCAUACCACCGGAGUUUUUACCACUGUACCAUGCAGUACCGUGGUCUUAUACGGUAUUAGCAGUCAUUUCUAACUGUUAUCCCCCUGUAUGAGGCAGGUUGCCCACGCGUUACUCACCCGUCCGCCGCUCAGUCACUUCGUUCUUCCUCCGAAGAUUCAAAACAAAGUGCUUCGCUCGACUUGCAUGUGUUAAGCACGCCGCCAGCGUUCAUCCUGAGCCAGGAUCAAACUCU